rnacentral:lncRNA from 10 species
CUCAGCCUGUGAUCAUUUCCUCCCAUGCAUCACUGGUCAGGCUCCUCUAUACACAGUCAGUUAUCUGGAACACUGUCUGUGCGGGUCUUUUCUCUCUUAGUCUGCCCUGUGAACUCCAGCUAUCUUGGCUUCCCUGGGCUCCCAAAUGUGGAUCUGGAAUCAGGAAAACCACCACUCAGCUCUGCCUGCAUUCCCCAACACUGCAUCAUGAUCUAGAAAUGUUCUCCAGAGCUUUAAAAGCAAGCAGCACAUCUGCUGCAACAUCCUCUCAUGCCUGCAUCAGAGCCUGGAGCCCACCUUGACUGGCGCCCACACCUGGCAGGAAAGGUGAAGGUCCUGUGCUUGCUCCUCCUCUGCUCUGCUGGUCACCAGCUGGUGGGUCAGUCAGCUGGACCUGCACAACAUUGAGGAGGCUGGUGGUGACCGCUGCAGCUCUGCAUAGUUGGGGAUUUGGGGAUGUGGAAGGAAAUUGUUUAACUCUCUGGUGGAAUCAAACCAAUCAAUAUCGCUAUUUGGGCUUUCAAUUAAAAACAGAACAAUAAAUCCUAUCC